rnacentral:lncRNA from 1 species
CAGAAACCCUGCAGGACCCAAUGUUACUACCCUGAAUAGAAGACAGUAUUGAAUGUUGCAAAGGUUAGAAGGGAGAUGAUUGACCAGUAAAAUGAUGGAAAUGCAAGAAAAUAAGAAUGUUAAGAUUUUUCAACGCCCACACCCUAAGAAACGGGAUUGAAAAGCAGUGACUUCAAGUAUAACACCAGAGUUUCCAUUUGGAUCCUUGAGGCAGUUGGAGUGAUCAAGCUUUCAAAUCCCUGAAAACGUGAGCUGUGCUAUGUCUGGGGCAGGCUCCAUAUUUUUAUUAUGUACCACACAACUCUAAAAGCAAUACAGAAAUUCAGGGCACUUAGAUUGAAAAAUGAACACUUUCCACAUUUAAAGGAGAAAGACUUACAUAUUUUUGGAGUUACAUACAUUCUUCAUCCCAUUUAUGAAAUCCAAAACCCACGGUUGGGCAUAAAGCAGGAGAUUUAAUACUCUUCUGCUGGUGGGUUUUGUUGAUUUUUACUGCCCCCUCCACCCACCCCUACCUUAUCCCACUCCAUCCCCUCUGCUCUUUUUGUUCUUCAUAGUUUUGUGCUAACUUCAGAGCUGCAAAUGUGUCAUUGAUCACAGAUUUAUAUAUAUGAGCUAAGAGCAGGAAUGCUAAAAUAAUUUCUUUCUCAGGCCUUAAAGAUAAAUGAUAGGUCAAGAUGCUUUACUUCAUAGCCAAACAUACUAAGGCACAGAGCAACAUGGCAGGAAUUUGAGUUGUGAGCGCCAGAAGUGCUUGUUCAGCACUAACAAGAAAUAGGAGAAUAGGAUCAGUAUAAUCUCAUAUUCUUAUUAAAUUAAAAAAAGACAGAGAGUAAUGCCAAGGUUAUGACAUGAACUGACAAGACCAAAAAAAAAAUCAGUUUUUCUGAUGCUUCAGCCUUUGCAAGCAUAGGAAAGAAUUAAAAAAAAAAAAAAAAAAAGCCCUGUGGCAUGAGUUAUAGAUGAAGUAUCUGCCUUUAGCUUGGAAUUUCCUGGCAUUUUUCAGCCUGUGACACAGACUUGAUGUGAUUAAACAAAGGCUUUUCUCCAAAUUUAAAGCUCUUAAAAAAAAAAGCUGAAUCUAAUACUCUAACUUGUUUUUAAAUGGGAGCAGAUGCCUCUGUUUCUUGAGCUGACUUCCAGAUUCUGAGAAAUAAAUGAAGAGUGGAGGCUUGUUUUGGUAGAGGCUGAGAAAAGGAGUUGGCCAUAUUUGCCCUUCAGAACUUCGUGUCAUCCCCCAGCUCCCCAACGGCAGGGCCACAUUCUUUCACAGGACGGAGUUGGGGCAGAUUAUGGCUUCCUCUGGAUUGGAUUUCCCUUGGCUUCCCUGAGGGCAAUCCCCCGAGGAAGCACAUCCUGGAGCCAAACUCACCCAAUGAACCACAGCAACAGCUCCUAGGAGAAUGAAGAGUGUGAAUGGAUGGCCUUUUCAAAAUGAUGAGCCUGGAAGAGUUACAGACUCUGGCCCGAAAGAACCAAAGUUGAAGGUAGAGAUGUUUUAAGGAUGAGCAGAGCAGAACAACUUAGCAGUGGGAUGUUAAAGGCAACAUGAAUCAAUGAGAAGCACAUGAUGACCUUGUUAAUAUGAAAAUUGAUAAUGGGGUGAGAGAAGAAAAGAAAAGCAUAAAAUACCUGUCUAAUCCAUGCACCACCAGACACCAGAGCAUGUGGGAAGUGGCCAAGAAGAUGAUGCAGGGACGUCUGAGCCCACUUUCUUAUUGGACUUUCCUAGGAUGCUGCCAGUGACCCCAGAGCCUUUUGUUUUCCUCCAAUAUUCUCAGUGCUUUAAAUAUUUAAUGAUCCUUCAACGUCUCUCUGAAUGCACUCCAAAUUAUGGAAGUCCUGGUUGAGAGUGGGGCCUGGAGCAGUUUAGAACCCUCUAAUCAAAGGCAGGUCCAUCUCUGGAGGAAGUUCCUACCUGGGGCAGAGAACAACUUAUAGCACAGUGCUCCAAAAUUUUCAGAGAACUGUGGGUAAGAUGAAUAUCAAGGUCAGGCUUAAAGUGGAGCAACAAGGGAACGGAUAUCCCAGUUAGCAAUCUGUGGCCCAGGGAGUGAGAGAACUUUAGCCUCAGCCAUUGCAUUUGUAACUGUUUGAGGAUGCAGGAGGGAGGGUCCAGGCUGGGCCUAGAGGACACUGAGACAUAUCUGGGCUUAUCUAAUGAGGUUGAGAAGUUGGUGGGCCACCAGGCUUGCUUAACGGGAGGGUAGAGAUUUUCACAUUGGAGUUUUCAUGUGGUGAUGUGUUUCCUUAGCCUCCCUGUUUUCUAGGAUACAUGGACUAAGGCAUUGGAGUGAGAUAGGAAAAGCUGGAAGGUCUCUAUGAGAUCAUGAGAGGCAGGGGUAAAGGGAUCUGCAGUAACUCAGUGUGACACAGUGUGGAACAGAAUGAUCUCUUUGCCUCUGUGGGGAGGACAGCGUGCCCUAGCACUGUGGCUGGUAGUGUUGGUGUGUCAAGGUCUGUUUCAGGUGGCACUGAAGGCUCUAUGAGCAUUGGCGGCAGAGUGGUGUGUUGGUGAAGAAGGAAAGCCCUAGAGCUCACAGCCAUCGAAGAGACACACCUAAGACAGCUCCUCACACUCCCAGAAAUGUCCUGGGGGAACUUUACAGGGGCUUCACUGGGAUGUGUGUGGGGAGGGCAAAUUUCGGUUAUUAUUUUAAUUGUUAGCCUAACCAUGUCUGCAUCAUGAUACCAUAAGCCAGGGAAACAGUUGGGUCAGAAUUAAUGGAAAUUGUUACUUUUCUCACGCGGUGAUGUUUUAAGUGCCUGCUGAACUCCAUUUCGGGCCCAUAGACUCAGGCCACGCAGGAGUGCCUCAUUUCUGACCUUAUAGAUGACUCAAGUAGGACCCUGAGAGACUGCUGAAAGCUUUCCUUCAUUUUAACUAAUUCAGCACAUAUUCUGUGGUUGCUUUCAGAGAGUAAGGCCUUGUACCAGGAACUUCCACUGUAGCCAAAUAGAAUCUGCAAGCGUGCCAUAAGAGAAAGCCUGGUGCAAGGGACAGAAGAUAGUUCCAGAAUCAAAAGACCUCUGUUUGUAUUUCAGGACAUGUUAUUUUGGGCAAAGAAUCUGAUGUCUCUGGGCUCUAGUACUCUCAACUGUGAAAUGAGAAAAUAUUUUAUGAAUGCAAAAUUGGGACAUAGAGUCUGACCAAGGUUUCCUAUGGGAGUUUCAGGUAUGAGACUCAAACUAGCUCCUAGAGAUUGGGUCUUACAAUGCUUGACUUGGGGCUACAGUUCAAGUGAAUCUAAUAGAAAUGGUUUAGGAUAUUUAAAGCAAAGAUUCCGCUAGACAAUUUUGAAUGAAUUUAGUAUAGAACCUCCCUCGUGGUGGAGUUCUGAGGAUCAAAUGAGGCAAUGAAGGUGGAGGAUAUUUUUAAAAUGUAAAGCACCAAAUAAAUAUUGACCAUUUUAAUUAUUACAUUUUACUACUCUGCAUAAAUCCAGACUUUUGCUUUGUAUUUUAACCCACGUUGCUACCUUGCAGACUUGAGACCCCAGACCUGUCUCUCAUGUUUAUGGAAGAAUCUGACUUUCUGCAGUUCCAAGCAAGCCACUUUCUUGCUUCCUCAGGCACUCAUGAUAAGCACUGAAGGGUACAAUUCUCCACCCACUUAUGUGGGGGAUCCCUUUCCAUGUGGCUUCAUCCUUUCUAUUUCUUAAGUUCAUAUGAAAUAUGGCUCAAAGAAAAGUCUAUCUGAUUCAUGGCCUUUCUCUUUUUUUAAGGUCAUAAAACAUAAUGUAAAAACAAGGUGAAUUAUAGCAAAGCAUGAUCUAGGUGUGUAACUAAUUCCUAUAAUAUAAGAGACCUUUAGACUUCUUUGAAAUAGGCCUUUCACUUUAUUAUGGGGAAAAUUAAGGUAAUAUAAAAACUAGCCCUUAAAGUUUUCAAUUAGCUCAAGUUGUGACCAUUUCCAACAAUAAUCAUAUCUGAAUAAUGUCAUUCUUAAAACCACUUAGGCUUUGUCUUAUGCUUUUCCAGAUGUUAGUGAUAUAAAAGAUUGCAAGUAGUACAUUUUAAUUCUGAAUCACCAGGAAGCAUAUUUUGGCUAUGAUACAAUCAUUAUCUUUUUUUUUUUUUUUUAAUUUAAGAACACUGGUUCCAAGAGAACAUAAGACAAGGGGAAGGUGUUCAAUUUUUGGUACUGAAAGUAAUUGUAAUAAAUGCUAUGACCAAAUAUUAGAAUUCUAUUUGAUAUAUUUAAAAGAAAUUGAAAAAACACUUUAAUAAUUUUGCUUAUCAUUUGCCACUGAUCUUUCUAAACAUAAUAACUUGAAAGGCCGUUGACAUUUAAGAAUAAAUAAUGCAAGCAGGUUUAGUUUUCUAUAUAUUUCAUACUUUGCCAAGUGAGUAUAUAGUUCAUGUGAUGACAGUUCUAGUCAAGGAAUAAGGAAAUCUCACAGAAAUGGACAACUUGAUUUUAAAUGUAAGCGUAACAUAGACACAUUUUUAUCAUUGUUUUUAUAUUACUCAGGAAGUCCUAUAGCAGACUUGUGCAGGAGACAGAGAAAGACAAGCCUAGGGUCCAUCCUUCAAGGACUUGAUAGCCCAGUUCGGGAAAGAAACAUGGGUCUAUGGGCAGUAAAACUAUAACAAAAAGAGUAAGUGCAAAAAGCCAGAUGAAUAAUAAAGAUAUGAUUAAUUAAUGAAGUUCAGAGGGAAGAGAGAAAGAGAACCUUUUAGCAGUGGCAGGAUUUGAAUCUGAAAGUGAAGCAUAGCUGAGAUGAUCUUAGUUGGAGAAGCUGGAGCAGUUCUCUCCAACUAAGAUAAUCCCUCCAAUUCAUUGCAUGUGAGGGACAGAGAGAAUGGUUUGGGAAAAAUUUAUGCAACAGGAUAUGAUCACUUUAAUUCCGGGCCAAAUUAAUAAUAUCAUUUGUUUGAAGCCAAGAAUUUCUGUGGGUCAAGGAAUGAAGAGCUGUAGAUCUAAAAAGGAUAAUUGUAGCUGGACUAUGGAGGGCUUUCAGUGGCAGACCAAAUCUGAAUUUUCUAACAUAAGAUUUGAGAUAGGGACAUGAUGAUCUCAACUGUUUUGAGGAAGAAGGAGUGCUGUGUGGGAGAGGGAGUUGAGGGGCAGGAGGACACAGCCAGUAGACCAUUGGUGUUAGCUGAUAAGCCCCUGGACCAGUAAGCUACGCAGUGAUAGUGGGAGAAUGGGGGAGAACCAGGGAGCAGAGUGUGGUGGAAAGUGAGAAUGAGAGAGUGGAAUCUCUGCUGACUAUUUCAGCGAAUGCCAGGAGUGGUUUUCUUUUCUUCCCCCCGCCCCCCUUUUCAGUGCAUUUUUAGUCAUGAGUUGACACAUUCACUGGAUCUUAAAGCUGGAAGUGAAGUCAAGUGACAUUUGAUCAGGUCCCCUGUUUUUAUUGAAGUUUGUUUAUUCCUGUUUUACAGACAUGGUAAUUAGAAACCAGGAAGACUGAGAAGGAAUCAAAUUUGCAGCAGCUCAGUAAGUGGUAGACUGGGAACAAGAAGCCAGUUCUCUGGGCUCUUGAAGCAAGGCCCUGCCACGUUGUCUUUCCCCAGGAGAGGAGGUCAUAAGACAUUCAUUCCAGAGAGAGUCCUGCCCCACCUCUGAGAAGGAAGGAAUGUACACUCAAGAGAGAUCAAGAAGAAUCUAAACAAACAGGCCCUUCUGCGUUUUCCCACAAGAGAAAAUGAUCUAAUUAACAUUCGAUCAUAACUUUUUGUCCAAUUAUAUUUCUACACUGCUGUUCAUACUUUAUUUAACCUAGGCAUAAAAAUUGACAAUUUUUAUUGUAUUUUU